rnacentral:tRNA from 1 species
UCGGGGGUCGUCUAAUGGUAGGACAGUGGCCUUUGAAGCCAUUAAUUCUUGGUUCGAGCCCAAGCCCCCGAGCCA